rnacentral:rRNA from 1 species
GUGAGGAAUAUUGCACAAUGGGGGAAACCCUGAUGCAGCAACGCCGCGUGGGCGAAGAAGGCCUUCGGGUUGUAAAGCCCUUUUCUGGGGGACGAGAGAGGACGGUACCCCAGGAAUAAGGUUCGGCUAACUACGUGCCAGCAGCCGCGGUAAUACGUAGGAACCGAGCGUUAUCCGGAUUCACUGGGCGUAAAGCGCGUGCAGGCGGUUUGGUAAGUCGGACGUGAAAGCUCCUGGCUUAACUGGGAGAGGUCGUUCGAGACUGCCGGGCUAGAGGUCGGGAGAGGGACGUAGAAUUCCCGGUGUAGUGGUGGAAUGCGUAGAUAUCGGGAGGAAUACCAGUGGCGAAGGCGACGUCCUGGCCCGCACCUGACGCUAAGACGCGAAAGCGUGGGGAGCGAACGGGAUUAGAAACCCUAGUAGUCC